rnacentral:tRNA from 1 species
UCCCUGGUAAUUCAGAGGUUAAGACUCCUCACUCCAAUGCAGGGGGCCCAGGUUCAAUCCCUGGUCAGGGAA